GAUGAACGCUAGCGGCAGGCCUAAUACAUGCAAGUCGAACGGUCAACUUCGGUUGAUAGUGGCGCACGGGUGCGUAACACGUAUGCAACCUACCUUACAUUGGGGGAUAGCCUUUCGAAAGGGAGAUUAAUACCGCAUAAGACAGUGACAUGGCAUCAGGUAGCUGUUAAAGAUUGAUCGAUGUAAGCUGGGCAUGCGUCCAAUUAGCUAGUUGGUGAGGUAACGGCUCACCAAGGCAAUGAUUGGUAGGGGAACUGAGAGGUCAAUCCCCCACACUGGCACUGAGAUACGGGCCAGACUCCUACGGGAGGCAGCAGUGGGGAAUAUUGGACAAUGGGGGGAACCCUGAUCCAGCCAUGCCGCGUGUGUGAGGAAGGCCUUAUGGUUGUAUAGCACUUUAAGCGAGGAGGAGGCUACUGAGACUAAUACUCUUGGAUAGUGGACGUUACUCGCAGAAUAAGCACCGGCUAACUCUGUGCCAGCCGCCGCAGUAACAC
rnacentral:rRNA from 1 species